rnacentral:rRNA from 1 species
UGCGCCUUGCCAGCCCGCUCAGAAACUCAAAGGAAUUGACGGGGGCCCGCACAAGCGGAGGAGCAUGUGGUUUAAUUCGAUGAUACGCGAGGAACCUUACCUGGGCUUAAAUGCUUAAUGACGUACUGGGAAACUGGUAUUUCUUCGGACAUUUUGCAAGGUGCUGCAUGGUUGUCGUCAGCUCGUGCCGUGAGGUGUCGGGUUAAGUCCCAUAACGAGCGCAACCCCUAUUGUUAGUUGCCAUCAGGUCAUGCUGGGGACUCUAACAAAACUGCCCGCGUAAGCGUGGAGGAAGGUGGGGAUGACGUCAAAUCAGCACGGCCCUUACGUCCAGGGCUACACACGUGCUACAAUGGCCGGUACAGAGGGCAGCCACUUGGUGACAAGGAGCAAAUCUCAAAAGCCGGUCUCAGUUCGGAUCGGAGUCUGCAACUCGACUCCGUGAAGUUGGAUUCGCUAGUAAUCGUAGAUCAGCAAUGCUACGGUGAAUACGUUCCCGGGCCUU